UACGUAGGUGGCAAGCGUUGUCCGGAUUUACUGGGCGUAAAGAGCGCGCAGGCGGUCGUUCAAGUCGCGUGUGAAAGCCCCCGGCUCAACUGGGGAGGGUCACGCGAUACUGAUCGACUCGAAGGCAGGAGGAGGGUAGUGGAAUUCCCGGUGUAGUGGUGAAAUGCGUAGAUAUCGGGAGGAACACCAGUGGCGAAGGCGACUACCUGGCCUGUUCUUGACGCUGAGGCGCGAAAGCUAGGGGAGCAAACGGGG
rnacentral:rRNA from 1 species